GCCCUCCCAGGCUCUGUCUGCACAGGGGCCUGCCAGUGGUGGGCUCAGCCAGAGACCCUCAUCCUGAGUGGGAUGACCUGAGUGUGACGGCUGCUUUUCUCUCUUGCUUCUGACACCAGGAAGAAGCUUGCUCCUGAUGCACCAGGAAACUGAAACUGAAACUCAGGGCCCUAGUCCAGGACCCUCCUCUCUAUUGAGUCACAAUUUCUCCUUCUAAGGCAACCUCCCACCCCAGGGGCUUCUCUCUCACGGCAGCCCCUCCUCCUUCCGGGUCUGUUCUGCUCACACCCUGAGCUCUGGGAGGCCCCAGGCAGAGAAGGGGGGUGGGGGGUGGUCUUGCUCGAGGUCACGUCUGCCUUCCAGAGCAGCCAGGUCAGGUCACAUCUGCUUUCCAGGCACAGAAGGGUGGGGUGAGGGGGGUCUUGCUCGAGGUCACAUCUGCCUUCUAGAGCAGCCAGGUCAGGACGGAAGGGUUUCUACCCCUCAGUUCCCGUACUACGAGAUGAUGCGGUGAGGCCAUCGGCUGUGUGCAUAUUACACAAGCAAUCUGGGUUCCUCCUCAUAAACCAGACGUGGGGCAGAGGUUCCCAGGCUCGGGGGUGCAAGGCCUCCCCUAGCUCUUUCCAGGCUCGGAGCCUCUGUGCCACACCUGCCCUCAAUGCACCCACACCCAAGACCAUGAAGGUCACCGGCCCCUGCUGCUGCUGGCGCAGCUGUGGGUGAAGCCCUGUAAGUGGGGGCUGAGGGUGGAGGAUGGGAAGGAGGCCUGAAGGUGGGAGUGAGACCCUCUCAAUGCUGGGGGCUCCAGAUGCCAGCAGGACCCUGCCCACAAUUCUGAGUAGCCAAGGGCACCUGAGCCUACCUGUGUGCUGCCCAGGCCUGCUGCCUGUGCUGGUGAGAGGGACUGGAACCCACCCUUCAGCCUGGGACCCUGACCUGCACCCUCCCCGCCCCAUCCCGAGUCAGGGCCUUGAGUGCUUCCAGUGCUACGGUGUCUUGGACCCCAGCCUGUGCCACCCGUCUCCGACCCCAUGCAGGCUCAAAGCUGCCCCUCCUCUGUGGUCACUGGCACUACCAAUGGGCAGAAAUUCAGCUACGCUAGCAAGAGCUGUGCCCCCACCCCGUGCCCAGAUUAUGAACCUCACCCAUCCUGUGGUCCAUGGAGGGUCUUACCCCAUAGAAACUGAGGAUGGACUGAUUGACUUGAAGACUGAAGCUGGACAUGACCUGCUGUGAAAGAGCCUCUGUAACAAGGCAGCCAGCGGGUGCGGCUUUGGGGCCUGGCUGUCAGGGAGCUCCUGCUCAGCCUGGGCCUCUUCCUUUGGGCCCUGCUGUGAGCCCAGCCCACCCUGGCACUGCCCCUGGUGGGUAAAUAGGAGCGCAGGGCAGUUGCCCUGUGCAGCCCUCAGCUCCUGCCCUGAUGCCCUCGCCUAGCUGCCCAGCAGCCCAGAGACCCCCCUCACCCAGCAGCCUAGAUGCCCACUGACCCAGAUAGUAAAUGCAUGUGUUCAACCCAAGGACUUUGUUCCUUAUUAACCCUUGGGGUCUGGUCUGUGGCCUCAGGGGUCCCAGCAAAUUCCCCAAGGUGGGGUUCAGAGACUGGAGGGCCUUCCCCAGGUGGCCCAGCCCUGUGCUCAUUUCCAGCCAGGAUCAGGCUCAGCCCCAGCCCGAGGUCCAGAAGCAGCCCGGAGGGUCUUGCACUCAGGGCUGGGGCCACCCAGGAAGACUUGUUGGGGGCUGACGGAGGGGGCGGAGGGGUGGAGGCACUAAGGGCCCAGGCCAGCUGUGGCUGCCGGAUGUGUGAAACGGUCCCGGGCCCACAGGCUGGUGACUCCUGCAAGGCACCGCAGAGGGCGGGGGUGUCAAGGGGGCAGAGGCUGUUGAUGGGGGAGGCAGCGCAGGGUUCUGCCUGGGCC
ensembl:lncRNA